AGGACGAACGCUGGCGGCGUGCUUAACACAUGCAAGUCGAACGGAAAGGCCCGCUUGCGGGUACUCGAGUGGCGAACGGGUGAGUAACACGUGGGCAACCUGCCCUCAGCUUCGGGAUAACACUUGGAAACAGGUGCUAAUACCGGAUAAUAACCUUUCAUCGCAUGGUGUGGGGUUCAAAGUUUUUCGGCUGGGGAUGGGCCCGCGGCCUAUCAGCUUGUUGGUGGGGUAAUGGCCUACCAAGGCGACGACGGGUAGCCGGCCUGAGAGGGCGACCGGCCACACUGGGACUGAGACACGGCCCAGACUCCUACGGGAGGCAGCAGUGGGGAAUAUUGCGCAAUGGGCGGAAGCCUGACGCAGCGACGCCGCGUGAGGGAUGACGGCCUUCGGGUUGUAAACCUCUUUCAGCUCUGACGAAGCGAGAGUGACGGUAGGAGCAGAAGAGCACCGGCCAACUACGUGCCAGCAGCCGCGGUAA
rnacentral:rRNA from 1 species